CACGUAAGGGGCGAGCGUUGUUCGGAUUUAUUGGGCGUAAAGCGCGCGCAGGCGGUUUUACAAGUCUGGUGUGAAAUAUCUGGGCUCAACUCAGAGGCCGCAUUGGAAACUGUAAGACUAGAGUUUUGGAGGGGGAGCUGGAAUUCCUAGUGUAGGGGUGAAAUCUGUUGAUAUUAGGAAGAACACCGGAGGCGAAGGCGAGCUCCUGGCUGGAAACUGACGCUGAGGCGCGAAAGCGUAGGUAGCAAACAGG
rnacentral:rRNA from 2 species